rnacentral:rRNA from 1 species
UACGUAGGAUGCAAGCGUUGUCCGGAAUUAUUGGGCGUAAAGAGUUCGUAGGCGGUUGUCUAAGUCUGUUGUUAAAGGCCUGAGCUCAACUCGGGUAUGGCAAUGGAUACUGGGCGGCUAGAGUGUGGUAGAGGUCACGGGAAUUCCAGGUGUAGCGGUGAAAUGCGUAGAUAUAGGAAGGAACACCAGUGGCGAAGGCGACCACCUGGACUGAUACUGACACUGAGGUGCGAAAGCGUGGGGAGCAAACAGG